CAGGGAGUUGUUAGCGCUGCUAUCCAGUACCUCAUCAGCGCUUAUAAUUUAGCCGCUCCAGACUAACUCCAAUUGUAACACCUAUGGGAGAGGCAUAUGGACAAAAUUAUCUUUGCACCCUAGAGCCUUAAUCAAUUAGAAAAUUAAUGGUGGUUUAUUCAUAGAUGAAACUCUUCUGGUCACCUCCAAGCCUCAAUGAAGAGUGAACACUUUCUUCUUUCUCAGCCCAUCCUCCUGGGGGAGGAGGUGCCUGAAUUCAGCUGAUGGGGUUGGACAAGGUUUGCAGUGGAGAAAUGAAGCUAAAGGGAUCUUGUGAGGAGCCCGAUGUCUUUGCUGCUUCUACACCUGAAUACAUCACAGGAACUGAUGGAUUAUACGCUUGCACUUUUCCAGUCCCUUAAGGGUUAGAGGGGGUUUUUCCAUUCAGGGACUGCUGUAUGUAGAGGGUGACAGUGGGACAUGCAGAUCACUCCCCAACCCACCUCUCUUUCCCCUCCCGGAUGAUCCAGCAGAAACAAUAAAGAAUAUAAGGUUAAAUCACAGUUUCACUUAAAAACUUGAUUGCUGCCAGUGUUUGCA
rnacentral:lncRNA from 1 species